rnacentral:rRNA from 1 species
CUGAUCCUGUCUGAUCUUGGAAGCUAAGCAGGGUCAGGCCUGGUUAGUACUUGGGUGGAAGACCACCUAGGAAGACCAGGUGCAAUAGUCG